UCUAAUAUGGCAGAUUAGUGCAAUGAAUUUAAGCUUCAUAUAUAAAGUAUUGCCACUUUUAUUAGAA
rnacentral:tRNA from 1 species